ensembl:lncRNA
UUGAUAUUGGUAGCAAAAGGCCAAGAAUUUAGGUGUCAAAGAAGCCUGGAUUCCUGCAUGCAUGCAAAAUAAAACCUAGUGAAGGAAGGAUAUCUUGAAACUCCCUGCUUUAUGAAAGGCAAGUUGUCCUCAUCCUUUUCUGAUUUCAUCCUCUGCCUGUUCUGCUUCUGAGAUGGUCAACAUACAGAGCAGGGCAGAGCAGGGUAAUCCUAUCUGAUCCUUCACUUACAGCAUUUUUUCCCAUUAUCUUGAGACUCAUCUUUCAGAGAUCCUCUGAGCGUCCCAGCAAUAUGUGUACAACAAACUGAGUCUGCUUGUACAGGGAAUAAAAAAGUGAGGCCUGGGGAAUGUCCAGACUAAAACAACAGCUCUUCUUCAGAAAUGAUCCAGAGCGAGCAUGUGCAGGCACUGCAGGGCUGAACGAGAUGGAUUUGGGUCUGGAUCUCCAAAGCAAUGACAGGCACAUGGAGCCUCAAACACAUGUAAACUGAAGCUUCUUCAAGUAUUCCUUGUUUUUCAUCAUUUUUCUUCAAAAUAGCAGUAGAAAAUACCACAAGGAAAUCCCAUCGUGUGAAGUCUUUGCUUCAGCCCGUUUGCUGUUUCCUGAUAUAGCUGGUGAAGAGCUACUACGAAGCAUCUGAUCACAUCAAAGAUGUUGGCUGAGGGCCCCAAGAAUCUGCCAACGUACAAAGACUAGAUCAAGCAUGGUGCUGAGAUAUAGAGACCCUAGAGGGAUCUCCACUGUGAGCAGCUACAGAGGUUGGGACCUUCCCCACAGGUACUUGUGCAUUUCCAGGAGCUCAGCAUCGUGCCAAAACCUUGGGGACUGGGAGAACAACUGAAUGAUGAACUUAACACUGUUACUGGUUUGACUCCCACCUGAACUCUACCAGUGAAAUCUAUAUCAUCCUGACAAGAAAUCAGCUGCUGCCUGAAACCUCUGACUUUGAGAACAUUCUGCAGUUGGAAAAUCACAUGUACCUGCAACCCUCCAGAGGAGAAAGUGAUUCAAAGGCUCUUCUUCAACUCUGAUGGGAAGUGGAGAACCAGACUUCAGGUGAAAAUUGGAGAGGGCUUUGGUGCCAGCAAGAUGUCCUUUGAGGUAGCUGCAGCUCAAACAACUGUUGAAAUGAGCAGAGCCAGAGUUUGACUGGAAGCCGAUAAAAAGAGUAGCUCGGAGAGAGAAUGAAGGAAGCUGAGUCUGGAGACUGUCUUUCCUGCUGACGGUGAAUGAAGACUGCAAUAUUCUCUGCUGCAAGUCCAUCUGCUCUUGAACCUCUCUUAAAAAGAUCUAUCUAACAAUAUUCUUCCUUUGGAGUUUCCAGUGCUGCUUAUGAAGACUUGAAAGCAGACUAUUCACAUGCUACAGAUAUGAGAAGUGAAUCAUCAAGGAUCACAGCUGAAAGCUUUGAAGAGGUUGAUAUGGUUGGGGUACACAACCAGCAGUGGAAUCACUGGAGAGGAGGGUCGAGGCAAAAAUGAGGAGUGUACCUGUUGGCUGUGGUUAUUAUCUUGGACUGUGCACUACUUUGACCGAAUUUACACAGCUUCUGGAUAG